rnacentral:rRNA from 1 species
CACUCCUGCGGGAGGCAGCAGUGGGGAAUUUUGGACAAUGGGGGCAACCCUGAUCCAGCAAUGCCGCGUGAGUGAAGAAGGCCUUCGGGUUGUAAAGCUCUUUUGUCAGGGAAGAAACGGUAGUAGCGAAUAACUAUUACUAAUGACGGUAACUGAAGAAUAAGCACCGGCUAACUACGUGCCAGCAGCCGCGGUAAUACGUAGGGUGCAAGAGUUAAUCGGAAUUACUGGGCGUAAAGCGUGCGCAGGCGGUUGUGUAAGUCAGAUGUGAAAUCCCCGGGCUCAACCUGGGAAUUGCAUUUGAGACUGCACGGCUAGAGUGUGUCAGAGGGGGGUAGAAUUCCACGUGUAGCAGUGAAAUGCGUAGAUAUGUGGAGGAAUACCGAUGGCGAAGGCAGCCCCCUGGGAUAACACUGACGCUCAUGCACGAAAGCGUGGGGAGCAAACAGGAUUAGAAACCCUUGUAGUCCCAUG